GGGGGGGGGGGGGGGGGGGGGCGGCGAGAAGGCUGGACGAAGUUUUCGAUUACUGCUUCUGCCACCAAUAUAUAAAAUAUAAAGACGACGAGGUGACUCUCUUUCUGGAUGUUCUUGUUCUCAACUAUGAUCCGAUGAUGACGUGAAUAGACUUAGCUAUGGCUGCAUGGAGCUCAUCUAAACAAGUAAACAACGAAGGAGGAGGGAAAUGAGGGAGGCGGAGAGAGGACUGAAGAGAGAUGGAUGGCAGGGAUGCCGGGUGUGUGGCCUUCGGGUGUGGGCUUGUGAGUGUGGAUUGUAG
rnacentral:misc_RNA from 1 species